AAAGAUUUAGUUAAAUUAAAUAACAUUAGAAUGUCAAACUAAAAUUAUUGUAAAAUAAUCUUUA
rnacentral:tRNA from 1 species